rnacentral:ncRNA from 1 species
UUACAUAUUGGAAAAGUAGGCGCGAUUGAAUUAUUUCAAUGGCUUAAAAGGGAAGUUGGUGCAAAUCCAACACGGUCCCGCCACUGUGACAGGGAGUAACUUUGCCGGUCCACUGUGCUUAGUACGCAUGGGAAGGAGCAAGGAAGCGAAGAUCUGAAGUCAGGAGACCUACCUGCUUUUUACACCAAUG